rnacentral:rRNA from 1 species
CCUACGGGUGGCUGCAGUGGGGAAUAUUGGACAAUGGGCGAAAGCCUGAUCCAGCCAUGCCGCGUGUGUGAAGAAGGCCUUCGGGUUGUAAAGCACUUUCAGUGGGGAAGAAAGCCUUGGGGCUAAUACCCUCGAGGAAGGACAUCACCCACAGAAGAAGCACCGGCUAACUCCGUGCCAGCAGCCGCGGUAAUACGGAGGGUGCGAGCGUUAAUCGGAAUUACUGGGCGUAAAGCGCGCGUAGGCGGUCUGAUAAGCCGGUUGUGAAAGCCCCGGGCUCAACCUGGGAACGGCAUCCGGGAAGGGGAGGCAAGAGGGCAGGGGAGGAGGGGGGAAUCCCCGGGGGAGGGGGGAAAUGCGUAGAGAUAGGGAGGAAUGCCGGGGGCGAAGGCGGUCUUCUGGAUUGACACUGACGCUGGGGUGGGAAAGCGGGGGUAGCACACAGGAUUAGAUACCCCUUUCGUC